GACCCUGAGAUCGCCGCGCUCUCCCCCCUCCCGGCGCCCACCCCCGCGGGGGCUCUCCCGCGAAGGGUUUCCCCCCGCGGGGGCGCGCUGGUGUUGGGGGGGGGCGGGCCGCCCCUCCCACGGCGUGACUGCUCCCCCACCCCACCCCCGCCCCCGGCAACGGGGUGUGUGGGGGAUCGGGGCAGACUGUCCCCAGUGCGCCCUGGGCGGGUGGCGCCAUCGGCCCGGGGGGAUGUUCUCUCUGGG